rnacentral:rRNA from 1 species
CACUCCUGCGGGAGGCAGCAGUGGGGAAUUUUGGACAAUGGGCGAAAGCCUGAUCCAGCAAUGCCGCGUGAGUGAAGAAGGCCUUCGGGUUGUAAAGCUCUUUUGUCAGGGAAGAAACGGUGAAAGCUAAUAUCUUUUGCUAAUGACGGUACCUGAAGAAUAAGCACCGGCUAACUACGUGCCAGCAGCCGCGGUAAUACGUAGGGUGCAAGCGUUAAUCGGAAUUACUGGGCGUAAAGCGUGCGCAGGCGGUUUUGUAAGUCUGAUGUGAAAUCCCCGGGCUCAACCUGGGAAUUGCAUUGGAGACUGCAAGGCUAGAAUCUGGCAGAGGGGGGUAGAAUUCCACGUGUAGCAGUGAAAUGCGUAGAUAUGUGGAGGAACACCGAUGGCGAAGGCAGCCCCCUGGGUCAAGAUUGACGCUCAUGCACGAAAGCGUGGGGAGCAAACAGGAUUAGAUACCCUUGUAGUCC